GUCUUUUAGGAGACAGUGGCGGACGGGUGAGUAACGCGUAAGAAUCUACCUUCAGGUUGGGGACAACCACUGGAAACGGUGGCUAAUACCGAAUGUGCCGAGAGGUGAAAGGCUUGCUGCCUGAAGAAGAGCUUGCGUCUGAUUAGCUAGUUGGUAGUGUAAGAGACUACCAAGGCGACGAUCAGUAGCUGGUCUGAGAGGAUGAUCAGCCACACUGGGACUGAGACACGGCCCAGACUCCUACGGGAGGCAGCAGUGGGGAAUUUUCCGCAAUGGGCGAAAGCCUGACGGAGCAAUACCGCGUGAGGGAGGAAGGCUCUUGGGUUGUAAACCUCUUUUCUCAGGGAAGAAAAAAAUGACGGUACCUGAGGAAUAAGCAUCGGCUAACUCCGUGCCAGCAGCCGCGGUAAUACGGAGGAUGCAAGCGUUAUCCGGAAUGAUUGGGCGUAAAGGGUCCGCAGGUGGCAUUGUAAGUCUGCUGUUAAAGAGUUUGGCUCAACCAAAUAAGAGCAGUGGAAACUACAAAGCUAGAGUGUGGUCGGGGCAGAGGGAAUUCCUGGUGUAGCGGUGAAAUGCGUAGAUAUCAGGAAGAACACCAGUGGCGAAGGCGCUCUGCUAGGCCGAGACUGACACUGAGGGACGAAAGCUAGGGGAGCGAAUGGGAUUAGAUACCCCAGUAGUCCUAGCCGUAAACGAUGGAUACUAGGCGUAGCUCGUAUCGACCCGAGCUGUGCCGGAGCUAACGCGUUAAGUAUCCCGCCUGGGGAGUACGCAGGCAACUGUGAAACUCAAAGGAAUUGACGGGGGCCCGCACAAGCGGUGGAGUAUGUGGUUUAAUUCGAUGCNACGCGAAGAACCUUACCNANGGCUUGACNUGUCACGAAUCCUGUGNNAACAUAGGAGUGCCUUAGGGAGCGUGAACACAGGUGGNGCAUG
rnacentral:rRNA from 1 species